rfam:Klebsormidium nitens mitochondrial DNA, scaffold: kfl01814, whole genome shotgun sequence.
GGCGGAAUAGUUUAGUUGGUUAGAACAGCGGAAUCAUAAUCCGCAUGCAGGGGUUCAAAUCCCUUUUCCGCUA